UGUCUCCUCUUUCAAUCAGUGAAACUAAUCUCCCCGUGAAGAAGCGGGGAUACUUAUAUAAGACGAGAAGACCCUAUGGAGCUUCAAACCCAACUACACCCCUAACUCUAUAGCCCCUCAACCACACUGGCCCCUGUAUAGUUGAUUUUAGGUUGGGGCGACCACGGAGUAAAACAAAACCUCCAUAAUGAACGGGCCUACCCCCUUAUCUAAGAACCACACCCCCUAAGAAUUAGAAUACUAACAUAAAAUGAUCCAUUAUUUGAUUAAUGAACCAAGUUACCCUAGGGAUAACAGCGCAAUCCAUUUCGAGAGCCCAUAUCGACAAAUGGG
rnacentral:rRNA from 1 species